AAGUCUGACGGAGCAACGCCGCGUGAGUGAAGAAGGUUUUCGGAUCGUAAAACUCUGUUGUCAGGGAAGAACAAGUACCAUAGUAACUGAUGGUACCUUGACGGUACCUGACCAGAAAGCCACGGCUAACUACGUGCCAGCAGCCGCGGUAAUACGUAGGUGGCAAGCGUUGUCCGGAUUUAUUGGGCGUAAAGCGCGCGCAGGCGGUCUUUUAAGUCUGAUGUGAAAGCCCACGGCUCAACCGUGGAGGGUCAUUGGAAACUGGGAGACUUGAGUGCAGAAGAGGAGAGUGGAAUUCCACGUGUAGCGGUGAAAUGCGUAGAGAUGUGGAGGAACACCAGUGGCGAAGGCGACUCUCUGGUCUGUAACUGACGCUGAGGCGCGAAAGCGUGGGGAGCGAACAGGAUUAGAUACCCUGGUAGUCCACGCCGUAAACGAUGAGUGCUAAGUGUUAGAGGGUUUCCGCCCUUUAGUGCUGCAGCUAACGCAUUAAGCACUCCGCCUGGGGAGUACGGCCGCAAGGCUGAAACUCAAAGGAAUUGACGGGGGCCCGCACAAGCGGUGGAGCAUGUGGUUUAAUUCGAAGCAACGCGAAGAACCUUACCAGGUCUUGACAUCCUCUGACAACUCUAGAGAUAGAGCGUUCCCCUUCGGGGGACAGAGUGACAGGUGGUGCAUGGUUGUCGUCAGCUCGUGUCGUGAGAUGUUGGGUUAAGUCCCGCAACGAGCGCAACCCUUGAUCUUAGUUGCCAGCAUUCAGUUGGGCACUCUAAGGUGACUGCCGGUGACAAACCGGAGGAAGGUGGGGAUGACGUCAAAUCAUCAUGCCCCUUAUGACCUGGGCUACACACGUGCUACAAUGGAUGGUACAAAGGGCAGCAAAGCCGCGAGGCCGAGCGAAUCCCAUAAAGCCAUUCUC
rnacentral:rRNA from 1 species